rnacentral:rRNA from 1 species
UACGUAGGGUGCGAGCGUUGCCCGGAUUUAUUGGGCGUAAAGGGCGCGUAGGCGGUCACGCGCGUCCGUUGUGAAAUCGCUCGGCUCAACUGGGCGAGGUCAGCGGAUACGGCGUGGCUGGAGCAAGCUAGGGGGCAAUGGAAUUCCCGGUGUAGUGGUGGAAUGCGUAGAUAUCGGGAGGAACACCAGUGGCGAAGGCGGUUGCCUGGAGCUUUGCUGACGCUGAUGCGCGAAAGCGUGGGGAGCAAACAGG